GACGAACCGUGCAACCGUUAUUCGGAAUCACUGGGCUUAAAGGGCGCGUAGGCGGGCUCGCCAGUCAGGGGUGAAGGCCCACGGCUCAACCGUGGAAGUGCCUUAGAUACUGCGAGUCUCGAGGGCGGUAGGGGCGUGCGGAACUUCCGGUGGAGCGGUGAAAUGCGUAGAUAUCGGAAGGAACAUCGGUGGCGAAAGCGGCGCGCUGGACCUCUUCUGACGCUGAGGCGCGAAAGCCAGGGGAGCAAACGGG
rnacentral:rRNA from 1 species